UUCCACUUCCUGCAGAGGCCUGUGGGUACAGCUCUCAUCGCCCCCUUCCCCUUGCAGGCUGGACUCUGUGUGCGUGUGUGGUCUCUCCUGCCUGCAGACCCCAAGCUGCCUGGCAUCCUGUGAGACCCCAGGGUUGUGGUACAGACCUCUCCUUUGCGCCUUCUAGUACUCAUGAAUCUGGGCCAAGGCUCUAGCCACAGCAGGAAUGUUCGGUUGGAACCCUUAGCUGAAAAGCAUGUCUUAGUGACAGGGAGCAAGCUACUUCUCCAUUCCUAGAGGUGAGGCAUGGAAAGUGACUUCCACUCACACAUGGUUACGCGGGACAAGCUACGUCACCUAGGGCUCGAUUUCUUAUUGAUGAUAUAAGGAUCAAACCACAUGUGUUAAUGUCCCUCUCAACUCUGACUGAGUCUGAUUCUUUAAAGCGUUUAAUAAGGUGGAAGCCAGAAUAAAAUUAGCUACAUCGAGUGGUCUCAGAGGCCCCUGAAAUGUUAAGGACUCCUUUGCUGGGCAGUGCAUCAUCCCUCACAAUAAACAGAAAUGAGAUGCACGUCUAGAAUAUAAAUGAGGUGAAGGAUAUAGAUAGGAAAAGAAAUGGCAAGAAAAAUCUCUUCAGACAAAAUGAGCUUCUAAAUACUCAAAUUAGACCAGGUAGUCCUCAUGCAAAAAGAACACAGCCCAACUCCUGAUCCUGGUCCCCAUGGAUCUGAAAUGUUCUGUACGCCAUCAAGAUCAAUGUCCACCCACAGCAGUGUGCACCUCCAUGUGCCACUCUCUUUAUACUCCUGAAAGCACUUACCACAACCUGCAAUUACCUUUUAAUGCUUGCUUCUUGGUCUCUCACAAUAGACUAGGGCCAGAGAGCUGGGUUUGUUCUCCACUGUGUCCCUAACUCCAGGGACCCUGCUGAACGACCUCGUAGAAUGGAUGGACAGAGGCGCACGCCUUGAAGGAAUACUGCUGGAAGGGGCACCUCCUCCAGGACACCUUCCCAGAUCACCUUCCCUCACUGAUCUGCCAGCCGAAGCCUAUCUGGUCUUAUCUGCUCUUCCCUACUCGUGCACCCAAUCAGCUGAUCUUGGCUACUCCUGCCGGGCCUGCCUCACCCCACCCUCACUUAGUAAGGACGGAUUUCGGCUGAUGAAGGGUGCACUUCACCCGCCUCACCGCACGUCCUCAGGGUAAGGACUGGGACCGAGUGUCUGGUCUCCUAUGCACCUCUUCACACCUACCUCUCCUUGAAGGCUCAAGGACUUGUGGACUGUUUACGAGGAGGGCAACUACAGAAAGGCAGAGAGAGAGAGACGGAGAACAAACAAAAGGACGGAAGAAGAAAAGGAAGAGAAGGAAAAGAACAGCAGGAGGGUUCCCAGCACAGAGCUUGGGACCCACCUGGAAGGAGGACGACUGAUCAAAAAGGGUAGGAGUGUCUUCGCCAUUUCGAAGGCAUAAGCGGAGCCAGCCAAAUGCUCCUCUUGCUGUGCCUGAUCCGUCAGUGAUGAGGACAGAGUGAUGUCGCCCUGGACAGAGGCUGACGGAGACUCUGCCCCGCGCUCGGCCUCAAGCAGCUGAGCACGUGAGGUUGGGCCCUGCUCCUCACUGCUGCACAUCGCUGGGCAGAACCGAUAAGCGGAUAAAUAGAUGAGUGCAGACAGUGACAGCGAUGGCAAAGACUGCAAGUGCACCUGAGGACAGAGAGAGUGACGGGGAGAGCCUCCGAGGAAAACGCCUGAAGCCCCAGUGGUGAGCAGGCCUCUCUGGUUGGGAUGUAGCUCACUGGUAAAGUACUUGCUUAGCAUCAUGCACAAAAACAAAACAAACAAAUGUCUGGGGUUAUAGCUCAGUAGCACAGCGUCUGACUGGCAAGUGCGAGGUUCUGAGUUUGAUUACUGGUAUCAGGAAAUAAAAUGAAACGAAAAAAAAGAAAGAGAUUUAAAAAAAAAAGAAAGAGAAACAAGCAGCAUGCACAGGCUUCGGGUUCAAUCACAGAACAAAACAAUGGCAACAGCAACAAAGAUUCUCUUUAAGUUGCCUUUGGACUGAAGCCUAGUGAGAAGAUGGCAACAGCCACAUGGGACUUGAACAGAAGAGGGGCCCAAGCAGGACCGGCGGUGAGUGCAAAGGUGGACAGCAGGUUGGCCUGGCUCCCUUGAGGACAGAGGACACGAGCAGCUGCAGCUCGAGCUGAAGGAGUGAAGCGUGAGGAGCAGGCCCAGCGCCCACUGCUGUCACUCUAGAGGACGUGUGGCUAAGCACUGCGGCCCCUUGUAGGGCUUCUAAAACUGCCAGUGCCUACAACUCCCCCUGAAGGGCCAGCUUAGGGGCUGUGUCAUGUGGGCAUCACGAGCAUAAAGUUUUCCAGAUGAUUCCAACAUGAAACCAAGGUUGGGAACCUCGAGGGCACCUGUAAGGCCCUGCAGGGACACAGGCAUCUAACUUUCUAGGACUCUAGGCCCCAAUCCAGAAAGAAUCAUUGUCUAAGAGACUUUGAAGGUGGGGCUAGAGCUAAGGAAAAGAAUCAACCCAAAGGGAAAGAGGCAAAAAAGAGAACCAGAAAGAAGGCCAAGAAAGGCAGUGAAAUCCAGAAAACAGGACAAAUAGGGAGGCACAAGAACACACAAAUGCAUAUGGGCCCAGAGGGACCGAGGCCAGAAGGGGCAAGCCUGUGUAUUAGUUUCUUGCAGCUUGUAGGAAUGGAUUCCUGGGGCUGGAGGUUUAGCUCAGUGGCAUAAGCACCUGCCUUGCAAGCAGGCAGUCGUGAGUUCGAUCCCCGGUACCGAUAAAAAGGAAAAAGACAAAAAAAAAAAAAAAAAAAAAAAAAAAGCGAAAGGAAUGGAUUCCUACAAGCUCAGGGGCUUUGAACAACACACACCAUCUGAUGGCCUGGUAUUUCACAGGUCUAGAAAAGUGUCUUCAGGGUUUGUUCCUCUGGGAGCUCUGAUGGAGAAACCAUUUCCUUGGUGUGUGUCCGUCCCUUCUAGAGUUCAUCCACCAGUCAGCUCACAGCUCCCUUCCUUGGUCUUCAAAGCCAGCAAUGUCAGACCAAAUCCGACUCAUACUGCUGUCUCUCACGCUUCUCUUUGCAUCUACUUUAAGAACCUGUGGAUCCUUCUGGAUCUCUGGAAUAGUGUCUUGAUUACCAAACAUAAUUCCACAUGCAAAUUAAUUCCUCUUUGCCAAGCAAGGUAACAUAUCCAGUUUACAGGAAUUAACACAUAUCAUUUUUGAGAGCUUGUCUGGAUGGCCCAGCAGGGGAGAGCAGCUGCUCGAACAUCCUUGAUGUAAGAAGUGCCCUCCUCUAUGGGGAGAUGGUCCUCUGGCAGGGAGGCACAUGGAGCAAGAGAAAGGAAGGAGACACCUGCCCAACCAGCCAGGUCAGCCAAAUCCACCCUGCUGAUCAGUGGGGUGACAGAUGUCACAGCCAGACUGCCCUCACAUCAAAGACUAUCAUUUUUGAAGGGACAUCAUUCUACCUACCAUAAUACAGAAGCCCACCUUUCAUAAAAACAGAUGCCGGGGCUAUAGUUCAGUGGCCCAGUGCCUGCCUGGCAAGCACAAGGUCCUGAAUGUGAUUCCCAGUACCAAAAAACAACAAACAGAUGUUAAUCAUAUCGGUAGCCUUUUGCUUGAUCAAGUUUUAUCUGUGCAAUCUGUGACCACUGAGCUGAGAGGUUUGUGUCAAAACAAUGUAUAUGUGUUUGUUUGUGCAGCUUUGUUUUUCACCGUGUCACACUUGAGUGCUCCCCUGGCAGGGGAGGGGAGGAGGAAGUCAGUGCUGUAAGGACUGCCUAAUAAAGCAUUCCUACUCUUUAAAGAUUCA